rnacentral:rRNA from 1 species
GGUUAAUAUUCCUGUACUUGGUGUUACUGCGAAGGGGGGACGGAGAAGGCUAUGUUGGCCGGGCGACGGUUGUCCCGGUUUAAGCGUGUAGGCUGGUUUUCCAGGCAAAUCCGGAAAACCAAGGCUGAGGCGUGAUGACGAGGCACUACGGUGCUGAAGCGACAAAUGCCCUGCUUCCAGGAAAAGCCUCUAAGCAUCAGGUAACAUCAAAUCGUACCCCAAACCGACACAGGUGGUCAGGUAGAGAAUACCAAGGCGCUUGAGAGAACUCGGGUGAAGGAACUAGGCAAAAUGGUGCCGUAACUUCGGGAGAAGGCACGCUGAUAUGUAGGUGAAGCGACUUGCUCGUGGAGCUGAAAUCAGUCGAAGAUACCAGCUGGCUGCAACUGUUUAUUAAAAACACAGCACUGUGCAAACACGAAAGUGGACGUAUACGGUGUGACGCCUGCCCGGUGCCGGAAGGUUAAUUGAUGGGGUUAGCGGCAACGCGAAGCUCUUGAUCGAAGCCCCGGUAAACGGCGGCCGUAACUAUAACGGUCCUAAGGUAGCGAAAUUCCUUGUCGGGUAAGUUCCGACCUGCACGAAUGGCGUAAUGAUGGCCAGGCUGUCUCCACCCGAGACUCAGUGAAAUUGAACUCGCUGUGAAGAUGCAGUGUACCCGCGGCAAGACGGAAAGACCCCGUGAACCUUUACUAUAGCUUGACACUGAACAUUGAGCCUUGAUGUGUAGGAUAGGUGGGAGGCUUUGAAGUGUGGACGCCAGUCUGCAUGGAGCCGACCUUGAAAUACCACCCUUUAAUGUUUGAUGUUCUAACGUUGGCCCGUAAUCCGGGUUGCGGACAGUGUCUGGUGGGUAGUUUGACUGGGGCGGUCUCCUCCUAAAGAGUAACGGAGGAGCACGAAGGUUGGCUAAUCCUGGUCGGACAUCAGGAGGUUAGUGCAAUGGCAUAAGCCAGCUUGACUGCGAGCGUGACGGCGCGAGCAGGUGCGAAAGCAGGUCAUAGUGAUCCGGUGGUUCUGAAUGGAAGGGCCAUCGCUCAACGGAUAAAAGGUACUCCGGGGAUAACAGGCUGAUACCGCCCAAGAGUUCAUAUCGACGGCGGUGUUUGGCACCUCGAUGUCGGCUCAUCACAUCCUGGGGCUGAAGUAGGUCCCAAGGGUAUGGCUGUUCGCCAUUUAAAGUGGUACGCGAGCUGGGUUUAGAACGUCGUGAGACAGUUCGGUCCCUAUCUGCCGUGGGCGCUGGAGAACUGAGGGGGGCUGCUCCUAGUACGAGAGGACCGGAGUGGACGCAUCACUGGUGUUCGGGUUGUCAUGCCAAUGGCACUGCCCGGUAGCUAAAUGCGGAAGAGAUAAGUGCUGAAAGCAUCUAAGCACGAAACUUGCCCCGAGAUGAGUUCUCCCUGACUCCUUGAGAGUCCUGAAGGAACGUUGAAGACGACGACGUUGAUAGGCCGGGUGUGUAAGCGCAGCGAUGCGUUGAGCUAACCGGUACUAAUGAACCGUGAGGCUUAACCUU